UACAGAGGGUGCGAGCGUUAAUCGGAAUUACUGGGCGUAAAGCGCGCGUAGACGGUUUUGUAAGUCGGAUGUGAAAUCCCCGGGCUCAACCUGGGAACUGCAUUCGAUACUGCUUGGCUAGAGUACGGUAGAGGGAAGCGGAAUUUCCGGUGUAGCGGUGAAAUGCGUAGAUAUCGGAAGGAACACCAGUGGCGAAAGCGGCUUCCUGGACCAGUACUGACGUUCAUGUGCGAAAGCGUGGGGAGCAAACAGG
rnacentral:rRNA from 1 species